GACUGAGAGUUUUUAUAUGCUGCCCAUAGAAACUGUUCAAUGUUAUCCUAUGUGUACAUGCACAUUUGGGCAUUUAGAGGUGUAUUUCAUGAGGAGAGAAGUUCUCAAGCUGGAAAUCUUAUGGAAAAAAAUGCUUAUAAAGCAAAUGCCUAUAUAUUCUCCUAAACUCUUGUGCAAUACAAACCACUAUGAGCAUUUUUUUUGCCGCUUUUACUGCCAGAGGUUUGAGCAUUUUUUUCUGCUCCUAAAGUGCAUGGCCUCCAAAGGUUGGACUAUAAUCAGGAUCUUUUUCUAUACAAAUUCAGAUGUGGUUAUAACAAGGACUGUUCUGUUCAUAUACAGGCAGGACUAUACCUGUAACUGUCUAUACAUAUUUAGGCAGAACUAUACCAGGGACUGUUGCAUAUAUGUAUACCAACAGGACUUUGCCCUCUACUAUUAUGUGUAGAUGUAAAUUGAAAUAUACCAGAAACUGCAAUAUAUAGUUACACGCAGGACUAUGCCAGGGAUGGUGGAAUAUUGGUACAGUUAGGACUAUGCCAGCGAUGGUGGAAUAUUGAUACAGGUAGGACUAUGUCGGGGAUAGUGGAAUAUUGAUACAGGUAGGACUAUGUCAGGAGUGUUGUAAUAUUGAAACAGGUAGGACUAUGUCAGGGAUGGUGGAAUAUUGAUACAGGUAGGACUAUGCCAGGGAUGGUGGAAUAUUGAUACAGGUAGGACUAUGUCAGGAUAGUGGAAUAUUGAUACAGGUAGGACUAUGUCAGGAGUGUUGUAAUAUUGAAACAGGUAGGACUAUGUCAGGGAUGGUGGAAUAUUGAUACAGGUAGGACUAUGCCAGGGAUGGUGGAAUAUUGAUACAGGUAGGACUAUGUCAGGGAUGGUGGAAUAUUGAUACAGGUAGGACUAUGUCAGGGAUGGUGGAAUAUUGAUACAGGUAGGACUAUGCCAGGGAUGGUGGAAUUAUGAUACAGGUAGGACUAUGCCAGGGAUGGUGGAAUAUUGAUACAGGUAGGACUAUGUCAGGGAUGGUGGAAUAUUGAUACAGGUAGGACUAUGCCAGGGAUGGUGGAAUAUUGAUACAGGUAGGACUAUGCCAGGGAUGGUGGAAUAUUGAUACAGGUAGGACUAUGCCAGGGAUGGUGGAAUAUUGAUACAGGUAGGACUAUGUCAGGGGUGGUGGAAUAUUGAUACAGGUAGGACUAUGUCAGGAGUUGUGGAAUAUUGAUACAGGUAGGACUAUGUCAGGAAUGGUGGAAUAUUGAUACAGGUAGGACUAUGUCAGGAGUGGUGGAAUAUUGAAACAGGUAGGACUAUGCCACGGAUGGUGGAAUUAUGAUACAGGUAGGACUAUGCCAGGGAUGGUGGAAUAUUGAUACAGGUAGGACUAUGUCAGGGAUGGUGGAAUAUUGAUACAGGUAGGACUAUGCCAGGGAUGGUGGAAUAUUGAUACAGGUAGGACUAUGCCAGGGAUGGUGGAAUAUUGAUACAGGUAGGACUAUGCCAGGGAUGGUGGAAUAUUGAUACAGGUAGGACUAUGUCAGGGGUGGUGGAAUAUUGAUACAGGUAGGACUAUGUCAGGAGUGGUGGAAUAUUGAUACAGGUAGGACUAUGUCAGGAAUGGUGGAAUAUUGAUACAGGUAGGACUAUGUCAGGAGUGGUGGAAUAU